rnacentral:rRNA from 1 species
CGCGUGGGGGCACGAGGUUUUUGGAUCGUAAACCCCUUUUGUCAAGGAAGAAGCUCUGACGGUACUUGACGAAUAAGCCUCGGCUAACUCCGUGCCAGCAGCCGCGGUAAUACGGAGGAGGCAAGCGUUAUCCGGAAUGAUUGGGCGUAAAGUGUCUGUAGGUGGCCAGCUAAGUCUGCUGUUAAAGAUCACAGCUCAACUGUGGGAAGGCAGUGGAAACUGGCAAGCUAGAGGUUGGUAGGGGUAAAGGGAAUUCCCGGUGUAGCGGUGAAAUGCGUAGAUAUCGGGAAGAACACCGGUGGCGAAAGCGCUUUACUGGGCCAGACCUGACACUGAAGGACGAAAGCUAGGGGAGCGAAAGGGAUUAGAUACCCCUGUAGUC